AAUAAGUGCAGUUUUGCACUAUUCACGUUCAACGUUUGACCGUUCGUCUUAUUUGAAAUUUUUUUAUGAUUAGUAUUUUUAUUGCUAUUAGAUAAUAAAACGUCAAUAGUACUUUACGUGUGACUAAAUAUUUUCAAAUUUUUCAUAAAUUUUUCAAAUAAGAUGAACGGUUAAACGUUGGGUACGAAUAUGCACAGCUGCACUUAUU
rfam:Oryza glumipatula chromosome 5, whole genome shotgun sequence.